rnacentral:piRNA from 1 species
UAGGUAUGCAAGGCGAUUUUUCGCAGA